GUGACUAGUGACAGAGUGAGGAAGGGGGUGACUAGUGAUAGAGGGAGGGGUGACUAGCGACAGAGUGAGGGAGGUGGUGACUAGUGACUAUCACCACCUCCCUCACUCUGUCACUAGUCACCAACUCCCUCACUCUGUCACCAGUCAUCCCCUCACUCUGUCACCCCUUCCUUCCCUCACUCUACCACUAGUCACCCCUCCCUCUAUCACUAGUCACCCCCUUCCUCACUCUGUCACCUGUCAC